rnacentral:rRNA from 1 species
CCUACGGGUGGCAGCAGUGAGGAAUAUUGGUCAAUGGGCGAGAGCCUGAACCAGCCAAGUCGCGUGAGGGAGUACUGCCCUAUGGGUUGUAAACCUCUUUCGUCGGGGAGCAAAAGCCGGACGUGUCCGGCUGUGAGAGUACCCGAAGAAAAAGCAUCAGCUAAACCCGUGCCAGCAGCCGCGGUAAUACGGGGGAUGCUAGCGUUAACCGGAUUUAUUGGGUUUAAAGGGUGCGCAGGCGGAUUUUUAAGUCAGCGGUAAAAUCGUGGGGCUCAACCCCAUCCAGCCGUUGAAACUGGGGAUCUAGAGUGUGCGAGAGGUAUGCGGCAUGCGUGGUGUAGCGGUGAAAUGCAUAGAUAUCACGCAGAACCCCGAUUGCGAAGGCAGCAUACCGGUGCACAACUGACGCUCAGGCACGAAAGCGUGGGUAUCGAACAGGAUUAGAUACCCGUGUAGUC